rnacentral:rRNA from 1 species
GCCCGCGUCUGAUUAGUUAGUUGGCGGGGUAACGGCCCACCAAGGCGACGAUCAGUAGCCGACCUGAGAGGGUGACCGGCCACAUUGGGACUGAGACACGGCCCAAACUCCUACGGGAGGCAGCAGUGGGGAAUAUUGCACAAUGGGGGAAACCCUGAUGCAGCGACGCCGCGUGAGCGAAGAAGUAUUUCGGUAUGUAAAGCUCUAUCAGCAGGGAAGAUAGUGACGGUACUUGAGGAGGAAGCCCCGGCUAACUAC